rnacentral:rRNA from 1 species
AGCGAACGCUGGCGGCAGGCCUAAUACAUGCAAGUCGAGCGCACCUUCGGGUGAGCGGCGGACGGGUGAGUAACGCGUGGGAACGUGCCCUUUGGUACGGGAUAACUGAGGGAAACUUAAGCUAAUACCGUAUGUGCCCUACGGGGGAAAGAUUUAUCGCCAUGGGAGCGGCCCGUCGUUGGAUUAGGUAGUUGGUUAGGUAAAGGCUCACCAAGCCUACGAUCAAUAGCUGGUCUCAGAGGAUGAUCAGCCACACUGGGACUGAGACACGGCCCAGACUCCUACGGGAGGCAGCAGUGGGGAAUCUUGCGCAAUGGGCGAACGCCUCACGCAGCCAGGCCGCGUGUAUGAUGAAGGUCUUAGGAUUGUAAAAUACUUUCCCCGGGGAAGAUAAUGACGGUACCCGGAGAAGAAGCCCCGGCUAACUUCGUGCCAGCCGCCGCCGUAACAC